GAGUAAUGUCUGGGAAACUGCCCGAUGGAGGGGGAUAACUACUGGAAACGGUAGCUAAUACCGCAUAACGUCGCAAGACCAAAGUGGGGGACCUUCGGGCCUCACACCAUCGGAUGUGCCCAGAUGGGAUUAGCUAGUAGGCGGGGUAAUGGCCCACCUAGGCGACGAUCCCUAGCUGGUCUGAGAGGAUGACCAGCCACACUGGAACUGAGACACGGUCCAGACUCCUACGGGAGGCAGCAGUGGGGAAUAUUGCACAAUGGGCGCAAGCCUGAUGCAGCCAUGCCGCGUGUAUGAAGAAGGCCUUCGGGUUGUAAAGUACUUUCAGCGGGGAGGAAGGCGAUGUGGUUAAUAACCGCGUCGAUUGACGUUACCCGCAGAAGAAGCACCGGCUAACUCCGUGCCAGCAGCCGCGGUAAUACGGAGGGUGCAAGCGUUAAUCGGAAUUACUGGGCGUAAAGCGCACGCAGGCGGUCUGUUAAGUCAGAUGUGAAAUCCCCGGGCUCAACCCGGGAACUGCAUUUGAAACUGGGCAGGCUUGAGUCUCGUAGAGGGGGGUAGAAUUCCAGGUGUAGCGGUUGAAAUGCGUAGAGAUCUGGAGAGUACCGGUGGCGAAGCGGCCCCCUGGACGACGACUGACGCUCAAGUGCGAAGCGGUGGGGGAGGCAACAG
rnacentral:rRNA from 1 species